CAAGGAAUUUUCGUCAAUGGGGGCAACCCUGAACGAGCAACGCCGCGUGGAGGAAGACGGCCUUCGGGUUGUAAACUCCUUUUGCGGGGGAUGAUUGUGACCGUACCCCGCGAAUCAGGCUCGGCUAACUCUGUGCCAGCAGCCGCGGUAAGACAGAGGAGCCAAGCGUUGUCCGGAGUAACUGGGCGUAAAGCGCACGCAGGCGGUCGUGCACGUGGGGUGUGAAGGCUCUUGGCUUAACUGAGAGAGGCCACCUCAUACGGCGCGGCUCGAGCGCUGCAGAGGUCCACGGAAUUGCCGGUGUAGUGGUGAAAUGCGUAGAGAUCGGCAGGAACACCCAGGGGGAAACCAGUGGACUGGGCAGUGUCUGACGCUCAGGUGCGAAAGCGUGGGGAGCGAA
rnacentral:rRNA from 1 species